rnacentral:ncRNA from 1 species
CCGCAAAAUUUUGAUCAACUCGCUUUACGGAGCUUUUUAACACUUCAUUAACUUGGAGCUCCUUAAACCCGGUGAACUCAGGGAACCUCUCAAUGAGACAAUCCUGAGCCAAGUCUCGAAAGAGAAAGGUGCAACGACUAUCGAAAGGCGGGUAAUACCGAACCGAGUAGAGUACACCCAAGUGGGUGGAAGCGCCGGGGGUGCAGCAAUGCAUAUGAUAUAGUCUGCUCUGCAUAGCGAUAUGCAG